rnacentral:rRNA from 1 species
CCGUGUACGUACAAGCAGUGGGAGCACAGAGCAAUCUGUGUGACUGCGUACCUUUUGUAUAAUGGGUCAGCGACUUAUAUUCUGUAGCAAGGUUAACCGAAUAGGGGAGCCGAAGGGAAACCGAGUCUUAACUGGGCGUUAAGUUGCAGGGUAUAGACCCGAAACCCGGUGAUCUAGCCAUGGGCAGGUUGAAGGUUGGGUAACACUAACUGGAGGACCGAACCGACUAAUGUUGAAAAAUUAGCGGAUGACUUGUGGCUGGGGGUGAAAGGCCAAUCAAACCGGGAGAUAGCUGGUUCUCCCCGAAAGCUAUUUAGGUAGCGCCUCGUGAAUUCAUCUCCGGGGGUAGAGCACUGUUUCGGCAAGGGGGUCAUCCCGACUUACCAACCCGAUGCAAACUGCGAAUACCGGAGAAUGUUAUCACGGGAGACACACGGCGGGUGCUAACGUCCGUCGUGAAGAGGGAAACAACCCAGACCGCCAGCUAAGGUCCCAAAGUCAUGGUUAAGUGGGAAACGAUGUGGGAAGGCCCAGACAGCCAGGAUGUUGGCUUAGAAGCAGCCAUCAUUUAAAGAAAGCGUAAUAGCUCACUGGUCGAGUCGGCCUGCGCGGAAGAUGUAACGGGGCUAAACCAUGCACCGAAGCUGCGGCAGCGACACUGUGUGUUGUUGGGUAGGGGAGCGU